rnacentral:rRNA from 1 species
AUUGAACGCUGGCGGCAGGCCUAACACAUGCAAGUCGAGCGAGCGGCGGACGGGUGAGUAAUGUAUGGGGACUGCCCGAUAGAGGGGGAUAACUACUGGAAACGGUGGCUAAUACCGCAUACUAUCGGAUAACCCAUAUGGGAUUAGCUAGUAGGUGGGGUAACGGCUCACCUAGGCGACGAUCGCUAGCUGGUCUGAGAGGAUGAUAGGCCACACUGGUGCUGAGACAAGGGCCAGACUCCUACGGAGGGAGCAGUGGGGAAGAGUGGACAAUGGGCGGAAGCCUGAUGCAGCCAGGCCGAGUGUAUGAAGGAGGCCUGAGGGGUGUAAAGUACUUUCAGCGGGGAGGCGUUACCCGCAGAAGAAGCACCGGCUAACUACGUGCCAGCAGCCGCGGUAAUAC